GAUGAACGCUAGCGGCAGGCUUAAUACAUGCAAGUCGAGGGGCAGCAGGACUGUAGCAAUACAGUUGCUGGCGACCGGCAAACGGGUGCGGAACACGUACGCAACCUUCCUUUAAGUGAGGGAUAGCCCAGGGAAACUUGGAUUAAUACCUCGUAAUAUUUGAGAGUGGCAUCACUUUUUAAUUAUAGCUCCGGCGCUUAAAGAUGGGCGUGCGACUGAUUAGGUAGUUGGCGGGGUAACGGCCCACCAAGCCUGCGAUCGGUAACUGGUGUGAGAGCACGACCAGGCACACGGGAACUGAGACACGGGCCCGACUCCUACGGGAGGCAGCAGUAAGGAAUAUUGGUCAAUGGACGCAAGUCUGAACCAGCCAUGCCGCGUGGAGGAUGAAGGUCCUCUGGAUUGUAAACUUCUUUUAUCUGGGAAGAAACCCAUAUUUUCUAGUGUGGUUGACGGUACCAGAUGAAUAAGCACCGGCUAACUCCGUGCCAGCAGCCGCCGUAAUAC
rnacentral:rRNA from 1 species